UACGGGGGGGGUAAGCGUUGUUCGGAAUUACUGGGCGUAAAGGGCGCGUAGGCGGGCGGCCAAGUCAGGGGUGAAAGCCCCCAGCUCAACUGGGGAAGUGCCUUUGAUACUGGUCAUCUCGAGGGAGAUAGGGGCGUGCGGAACUUCCGGUGGAGCGGUGAAAUGCGUAGAUAUCGGAAGGAACACCGGUGGCGAAAGCGGCGCGCUGGAUCUCUUCUGACGCUGAGGCGCGAAAGCCAGGGGAGCGGAACGGG
rnacentral:rRNA from 1 species